GUCCCUUUCGUCUAGGGGUUAGGACGUUACCUUUUCACGGUAGUAACACGAGUUCGAUUCUCGUAAGGGAUA
rnacentral:tRNA from 1 species